rnacentral:misc_RNA from 1 species
GAAAUGCGAUAAGUAAUGUGAAUUGCAGAAUUCAGUGAAUCAUCGAAUCUUUGAACGCACAUUGCGCCCCCUGGUAUUCCGGGGGGCAUGCCUGUUCGAGCGUCAUUUCACCACUCAAGCCUCGCUUGGUAUUGGGCGACGCGGUCCGCCGCGCGCCUCAAAUCGACCGGCUGGGUCUUCUGUCCCCACAGCGUUGUGGAAACUAUUCGCUAAAGGGUGCUCUGGAGGCUACGCCGUAAAACAACCCCAUUUCUAAGGUUGACCUCGGAUCAGGUAGGGAUACCCGCUGAACUUAAGC